UACGUAGGGACCAAGCGUUGUUCGGAUUUACUGGGCGUAAAGAGCGCGCAGGCGGUCGAUCAAGUCGAGUGUGAAAGCCCCCCGGCUCAACUGGGGAGGGUCACGCGAUACUGCUCGACUUGAAGGCAGGAGAGGGAAGUGGAAUUCCCGGUGUAGUGGUGAAAUGCGUAGAUAUCGGGAGGAACACCAGUGGCGAAGGCGACUUCCUGGCCUGUUCUUAACGCUGAGGCGCGAAAGCUAGGGUAGCAAACGGG
rnacentral:rRNA from 1 species